rnacentral:rRNA from 1 species
GACGAACGCUGGCGGCGCGCUUAACACAUGCAAGUCGAGCGAAGCGGCGGACGGGUGAGUAACACGUGAGUAACCUGCAUUAGACAUUGGGAUAGCCUCGGGAAACCGGGAUUAAUACCAAAUGGUCUAAGAUGGACUCGCGUCCCAUUAGCUAGUUGGUGGGUAACGGCCCACCAAGGCGACGAUGGGUAGCCGGCUUACUAGGCUGCGCGGACACAUUUGAAGUGAGAAACGGUCCAAACUCUACGGGAGGCAGCAGUGGGGAAAAUUGCACAAUGGAGGGAACUCUGAUGCAGCGACGCCUCGUAAACUACUGAGGCUUUCGAGUCGUAAAGUUCUUUUAUAAGGGAAGCGGUACCAUAAGAAAAAGCCCCGGGUAACUACGUGCCAGCACCCGCGGUAAUUC